UGUAAUUUGAAAAAGUGUAAUAAAAUAUACAGAGGUGAAGUCAUGUGUCUUUCCAGAUGCCCAAAUCUGUACCACUCAAAAAGUAAUGAAGUGACAGUGUACCAUGACAAAAAAUCUAAGAUGAGCCUGAAGAGGAGAUUUGGGAAGAUGCUGUUUCAUAAGUCUUUGCUUUGCCAGAUCACCUGUGGUCGGGAUGUCUGCUAACAAGAUGCCUUGUUGGUCUGGGCGAGUUUGAAGUCUCUCACAGACAGUCCAGAUGGUCUGGAGUCCAUCUUAGCUUUUAUUGAUGCUGUCAUCAGGUUUUAAGUACAGUAUGAGCCAGAAUGGAAGGGUGUUGGUGGCCAUAAGAAGACUGUGAGCUAAACCUACAACAAAAUUCAUAUUUGCAGUUUUCCUAGAAUAUUUUUUUCUAUUCAGAUGAAUAAAAUUACUUUAAAAUAUUA